ACCAUCAGCUGUUGUACACAGCAGUCAGUAGAUAUCUAGUGAGUUGCAUUGAUCACUGCCAUGCAUGGUCAGUAUAUAUACAACUAGAUCAGUGGUUUCUCUGUGAUGUCGUGCGGUCCAUAAUAAUAAUUUCAAUACAAGUGACACGUCUGUUGAAUCUCAUGCAGUUAGUGUUAUGUUAGUUAUCUGAAGGUAUUUGAAAUGCAAAUGUGCUUGUCACACAUAUAAUUAUUAUUGCCUAACCUCGAUCCACCACUACAUUCAUAGAAAACGUGUUCAUUUUAUUGCCCUCCAGUUUACUUAUACAUAUCCCUAUCACUACUCCUUGUAUAUACAGUGCUAGCCUCGAUUCAAGGCCGAUUAAAAUACGGCCUGGUACCUAUUGCAGGGGUGAUAGUGCGCAUGCGUUAGUUUAUUCACCAAAAUCUGGGGAAUCCCCUUUUUCUCCCUCAUCUAUUUUCUAUCUUUGUAAACAUCAGCUUAGCUCUCUAUUGCGUUGUUCCAGAAGGCUUUCACACUAGUCUGAAGCCAGGAGAGGCUCUCAUCUACCUCUAUGAUGGUUGUAUGGUCAGGAUGUCUUACCAUGGAUCUGUACAGGCUAUGGGAAGUGUAUGGUGCCUCAAACUGCUACUCACAAAGACAACCCGGCUAUAGGACAGUCCUCAGGGCGAUCCUAGGAUUCAGUCAAUGGAGGUGCUCAUUGCGCGCGAAGCGCGCCGCAAAAUUUAAACCACGCCCACUUCCGGGGAUAACGCCCCUUUUGUCGGCAACGCCCACUGUUUUCUAGAUGGUGCACAGUACUGACAUAUAAUCAGUACAGUGCCAUCCAGCAAGUCAAGAAUGUUUAUGACCAGAAGCUCAAUUCGCCUGGGGAUGGCAAACUCUAGCCAACUCUUCUUAAGGCCACUAAAAGAUUGAUCAGCUUACCAGGAGGUGACAGGCAGCGUACAAAGUAUGACCACCAGUACCUUGAUGUUGAGGAAAAGAGACUUUGUAGUUUACAUUGCAAACAUUGAUUAUUAUUAAUUUAUUGUACAUACAUGUAGGCUUAAUUAUAUAAUUAUACUAUACAUUCA